GGCGACGAUGGCGGCGGCUGCGGCGAUGGCGGCGCGGGGCUGGCGGCGGCUGAUCAUAUAUACUAAGAAGGACAUAAAACUGUUAGCGUCCAAGGAAGGGUAACAAAGAUGUGGAAGGGUCUGGAGGACGAGACAUAUGAGGAGCGGCUCAGGUCCCUGGGUGUGCUCAGCGCAGAGCAGAGGAGCUGAGGGGAGGCCUGAUGGCGGCUGCAGCUCCUCACAGGGAGCGGAGGGGCAGCGCUGAGCUCCGCUCUCUGUGACAGCGACAGGGCCCGAGGGAACGGCGUGGAGCUGUGAGGGGAGGGGCAGCUGGGGGUUAGGGACAGGGGCUGCACCACAGGGUGGUGGGCAUGGAACGGGCUGCCCAGGGCUGUGGGCACGGCCCCCAGUGCCGGAGUUCACGGAGCAUCUGGACACUGCUUUUGGACACUGGGUUUAAAUUUCGGUGAUCCUGUGUGGAGCCUGGAUUUGGACUCGAUGGCCUGCCUGAUUCCCAGGAGAUGUCACAGCCUGUCAGCAGUGGGAACUGCCUGUCCCUCAUCACCUGUGCUGCUCUGGAGCCCAGAAGGCUGCCGCGCAGGUGGAAUCCACCAGAUCUUGCAGAACCUGAAUUUGGGGCAGCUGAGCGGUUGAUGACCUGAGCUGGAUGAAGAACCAGGAGUCCUUGCUCACAUUUCAGCUGGACAACCAUUUAGCUGUGUGCAGUGCGGACAGAAAAUGCAGGGAUGACUUCAAACUUUGACAGUUAAUUGAUACAGCUGUUGGUUGGAUUUCAUUAGCAGCUUUGUGGUCUGUAGCAGGAGCUAGCAGGCACCCUGGGUCUGGACAUCAGUAUGUGUCCCAUGGCUGCCACUUUUGUGUCUUUACGAAGAUGUUACUGUCCUUGCAGUGCUGCUGUGAGAAUGCUGUUGGAGUAUUUGUGCUGUUAGCAGGCAGAUGAAACUGACAGUGCUCAGAGCACUUUGCUCACUUGUAAUGUUCCAAGGCCUUUUGGGCUUUCCCUACUUUGGAAAGACUUUUUUUCUUGGAAAAAGUUCCAAAAAACUCCUUCCAGCUGUUUUGAAGUAAUAAAUUCAGCUGUUCUUCAUUUUUUUUUCUAAUUGCUGAAGGCUUCAAGUGUGCUUUUACAAACAAUAUUGCAGUAAAGCAUUGCAUAUGAAAACUUCCUUCACCGCAGAUCUGUGUGGAGGGUUCUCUCUGUGCUUAGCAGAAGGAACAUUGCAGCUGGUUGCCAUCAGCUACCUGAAUGCAUGUGUGCUUCCUCCAUGAGCAAGAGGGCUUUUUACAUCUGUUUCUUUACGUGGCAUGUUGUGGCCAGAAGCAUACCCACGUGCCUGCACCAGGUCAGUCAAAAGUGACACUGCUAACCUCCUAUCUUGGCAGAGUGCUGCAGAGCAUGGAGUGCGCAGCGUGGAUAUGUACAGCUUUGGGAGUGCUGCUGGAGGAGUGCUGCUUCAGCUGCUGUGCCACUAAAUGAGCGUGAUGGAUUGCUGUGGUGUGGUGAGGCUCAACCGAGUGUCUUCUUGGAAGAUAAUACGGGAUUAAUGAUAAUUCCACGUCACAUCUUGCUCAGGGACUGUGCGUAUGUCAUCUACAAUUUCUGCCCUUGGAACAGAAGAUAUUUGCAGCACUGGGAGUUUCUUCUGUUGUCUCCAGUUGUCAUCUUCCCUCCCAGGAUCCUGCUGCUGUUUCAUCUUGUAUUUCACGGGACUCUACUUGGCGAAUUAGUCUUGAUGAUGCUUUUCAAGGAUUGGACGCUGGAGGGUGCUAAUGCAAUGAGAGCUGAAAUUGUUUUAGCAAAUUAAAGGGUUCCCCUUUGUUACUUGUGAAAUAGUUUUAUUCUUUGUUGCAACAUUUAAAUGGGAAGGCAUCAUCUGUGGUCUAAGCUUACCGGCAGCUGAUCUUGCCCAAUGUGUGUAGUGCUAUAACCAAACAUGUCAAUAAAGCAUUAAGUCUGUGA